AGGAGUCUAACAAGCUUCUACCAAGGCGAUAUACCUAUCAGUUGUCCUUUGGAAAAGAUUGAUGUUUUUAGAUGUAGGAAUUUGAAGAAGUUUCCCCUUGCACCACAAACUGCUUCCCAUCUACAAACUUUCGAAGCAGAAACUGAUUGGUUCGAUGCAUUAGAAUGGGCAGAUCAAAGCCAUCACGCAAUAUUCCAGCCUUUCUUUGAAGAGGUAGAUCAUUUAUUUUAUUUUUUCUUCCUUUUUACAUAUGCUUUACAUUUGGGUCUAUGAUUAGGGUGCCAGUAGAGAUUGCAAACUUCUUAUCAUCUGAAUCCAUAAUACUGCUAUGACAUGUUCUUCCAUUUUUUUCUGACAUAUGAAUAUUUUAUUUCGUGAUUUACUAUCCAUAAUACUGCUAUGACAUUUUAUUUUUAUUUUUUUUCAAAAGAUGGCUGAAAGUUAUUACUAGAUUUCUUCUUUUCUUUUUCUGCUUUUCAUUAUCAAAAUGGAAAAUUUUGAAGAUAGGUUGGGGAAUUGUCAGAUAUUAGUCAAAACUUAUUGUGAGAUUUGCUGCAAUAAUCGACAAAAAAAAAAUUGUAUGAGAGUAUGACUAUGAGAUUUCAGGCCAUUGCUUGUUUAGUUAUAGCUUAUUCUUUUUCUAAAGAUAUAUUUGACCGAUAAAACCUAUAUCAAUGCUUUCUAAAUGAAUUUUACGGUGUUAAAAUUAUGUAGCUUUACUUAAAGAAAUUAUGUUUGAUGCAGCAGGCUUAAUUAGCAUCAAUAACAGGAGAUGGUACUAUAAACCAUUGUACCGUCUACCUACUCUGCUACUCAGUUAAGUUUGUCAGAGAUAUACUCUAUCAAGUUAGUAAUAUCCGUAAACUUUAAUCUGAAUUACAUCUUUUUAUUUUUCUCAUAUUGUUCUUGUCUUACAUUUUUGCAGUAAUUCAAAUCUUGAUAAGGAAAAUUUGAUUCCAGACAGCGAUGUUUAAAAACUUGCAGCACAUCAGACUCUUUGGAGUAGCUUCGUCUAUGUUUAUUGUGAUUGCGAUGACCUGGUGUGUAAUCUUACAACUUUUAGUUGCUUUCUUCUUUGUUAUGUUGUUAUUGUGAUUGCGAUGAGCAGAAACUGAUUGGUUCCAUAAAUUAGAAUGGGGAGAUCAAAGUCUGCAGGCAAAAUUCCAUGGCUCAGACAUGCGUUCAACUUCGGUAGAACCAAUUAUAUUGGACAGUUUUGACUUCUUCUCAUUUUGGUUUAUAAAAAAAAUGUACUAUCUGCUUCUGCUUCUGCUUUUCCAAUGGGAGCCAUAUUAAUACUGUUACAGCUGUUUUUUUUAUUUUUAAUUAAAAAAACUGCAGCACGUGCAUAUUCACAUAGUGUAUUGAAUAUGGUAAUUGUAAGCCCACACCAUUAGGUUUCAAGAAGCUUACUAGCUCACUGCUUACACCUCCGGGUGUAGACUACCCAUAUGCAUUGUGUCACAACUCCACCCUUGAAAACAUUGAUUAACAGAUACAGAUCUCAUUAAAUUUUUGUUAAUGAACAGUUAAUUUCUCUGGCGCAAGAUGGACAUGAGAUAACAGAAGGCCUCCUUAACUCUACUGGUAUGAAAAAAAGGAAGUAG
rnacentral:lncRNA from 1 species